rnacentral:rRNA from 1 species
GACGUAGGGCGCGAGCGUUGUCCGGAUUUAUUGGGCGUAAAGCGCACGUAGGCGGAUCGAUCAGUCAGGGGUGAAAUCCCAGAGCUCAACUCUGGAACUGCCUUUGAUACUGUCGAUCUGGAGUAUGGAAGAGGUGAGUGGAAUUCGAGUGUAGAGGUGAAAUCGCAGUAUUGGAGGAACACCAGUGGCGAAGGCGACUAACUGGACGAGUAACUGGACGCU